CUUACUGGUAACUAUUUACAUGCUCAAAGUAAACCCGAAGCGAGAUUUGACAGACAAUUGCGCAGUAUCUAUUAUAUUCCCUGUGAUAAAACUUGUCGCGUCAUUUGUAAUUGCCCAUUUAGCUGAUUUAGUAUUCAAAUUUUACCAAGAUUCGCUAUAACAAAUUUACAUUUACACAGUCAUGUUUUAUGUUUGGUGUGGUUAAGAUAAAUAAAUAGCUUUCUUGUAUAUACUUAGAAUCUCAGUCUGGAUUAAUUAAAACACUUUUGGAAAAUCAAUUGCGGACUUUGAUCUUUCAGAUUUCAAAUUUAUUUCACUCUCUUUGACGUUAUUAAUUACGGGCUGGUUGUAUUAAAUCGUGCAAAGUUUGUCAAAUAUUUGCUCGAGCAAACUAAAAUUUUUUAAUUAUAAUUUUAAAAGAAUAUUAAUAUUUUAAAAAUAUUAUCUAGCACACACAGAGGAACUAAAGUUAUUUUUAUUUUUUUUACCUCACUCAUAUUCUCCAUUUCGCGUUAUAGUGCAGUCCAAUUAUAUUCUCUUGUGUAAUGAGAAUUACAAUAGCUGUUUAUGAAAUUGCAUUAAUGUCGGAAAAAUGUACGCUCUUGAGAAUGAAAAAAUUUCAAUAAACUUCAGUGCUGUAGUUGACAAAAAAAAAAAAAAAAGAAAAAAAAAUUUGAGUAGUCAUCGCUUAUCGACUCAGCGCCCAACAGUCUACUAUUUAUUUAGUUAAUUAACUUAUCAAUUAAAGCGUCACUAAAAGUGUCACUACUGUGCAUUGGAAACGAUAUUGAGUAUUUCAGGAAUGGAGAUACGGAUCCUGGUAACAAAGAUUACCGGAAUGUGAUUAACAUCCUAAACCCAAAACAAUACAAUGUUGAUUGAUGAGAUUGGAGCCGAUUAUCGGAAGAUUAGAAAUAGAAGCUCUCUAGUAUAGCAUUAUAGGUGUUUAAUGCAAGCAUUGACAUGCUCAUGUUCCGGAUUAGCCUCAUCAUUCACCAAUACCCACUCAACUUGCUGUAAUCGGAUAUACAUUCAUCAUUCAUUCCGGAUUUAUAUUUGUAUUUAUAUCCGCAACACACAGACAACCAUCUGCACUCAAGAUCUUUUCCGUUCCAUCAACAAAGUCCAUUUUUAAGUAAAAAAUAAAAAAAAAAAAACAGUCAAGAGUGUCCUUUAAGCCGGUGAUCUCUACUCUGCAAAUCCUCUGCAUAUUAUUCAGCAAUAAGCAUUGCUUUCUGUGCUAAGAUCUCACGUUUCAGAUGUUGAACUAUCCUGACAGUAAAUUGACACUAGACACUGUUUGCAAGUAUUUUUAGCUGGAAGUCUUUAAUUUUUGAGAGGCAAACUUUUGAGCCAGCACUAAUCCGGCUGAAGAAUUAAUGAUCUCCGGGCUUUGGAGCUCGGAAGAAGGGAGCCAUCAUGUGUUAUUGUAUUACGACACUGGAUAAUGUAAGACGUCUGGUUGAUAAAUCUUUCUAUUUUAUCACUGAAAUGUCCAAAUACGAGCAACAUUUGCGGUUUUAUGUCUCAUAAUAUUUAAGGCUGUAUCUACAUCAUCACGUCUUGUAACUUUCAAAUUCAACUUUUGUGAUAGUGCCAUCAAUUUGUUGCCCGAAGAAUUUCAAUUUCAUGCAUAAAAAUGUUUUGAAUGUUGGAGAAGCGAUGCAGGGCGAAAGUCUGACGUUUAGGGGUUGAGACAUACACUGAGCUGAUGUUAAGGACCCGGGAGGUCCUUCAAGUAACUAUAUUACUCAAUACAAUCCAAUUUUACUUAGCCGUGAAUCGAAUUUCAGAAAAACACUCAUACGCUUGGAAUUUUGUUUUAAGUAUUUAGAAAAAUUUUUAGCCAAAAAAAAAAAAAAAAAAAAUAAAGAGAUGAUUCAGUUAUAAAAAAACAUGAACUUCACAGAGGACGAAGGAGGAUGUGAUAAAAGCAGCGGCGGGUGUAAAUCUCGGUGAUAAUCCUUUGUGAGUACACAAUAUACUUAAUAUCGUCGGAUUUGUUAUUCUUCCUUCAAUAUAUUUUAUGUCCUGAUUGAUCAACGAGCAGACUCUCGAGUAGAGUGAAAGCAGUCCAGGUACAUAGAUAGAGAUACAUAUACAGUAGAGAGUUGAGAGAAUACUAUACACAGCAACAGCAACACACGGUAGAAGGUCGAGCCGCCGGUGCGAACCGUUGACUGAACCACUGGCUAAGAGUUAGGGGUGGCGAGCUAUACCACACACGUUAUACUCGACUCUACCCACUACACCGUUAACUCAACCUGCUGCUCCGCUGUGUGCUGCGCGAUCCUACGAUUCUGCGCGCUUAUGUUUUCUUUAAACUCCAUACAUCUAUCAUUUAUAGAUAUAUUUAUAUUUACAUUUAUAUGUGUCUAUAAAUAUUCUACGGACUUUUUUUAUAGGUUUCUGUCAGUCAGAGUUCCCUCUGCAUCGCGAUCUUCACACUGAGCUGCUUCGUGAUCAAGAAAAGGGAUCAAGAAUUCACGAUUAGAAGAUCCUUAAUACCUUCGAUCAAUCUUUGACAGUCUACUGAACUUUUGGAUAAGAAAUUU